GACGAACGCUGGCGGCGUGCUUAACACAUGCAAGUCGAACGGAAAGGCCCUGCUUUUGUGGGGUGCUCGAGUGGCGAACGGGUGAGUAACACGUGAGUAACCUGCCCUUGACUUUGGGAUAACUUCAGGAAACUGGGGCUAAUACCGGAUAGGAGCUCCUGCUGCAUGGUGGGGGUUGGAAAGUUUCGGCGGUUGGGGAUGGACUCGCGGCUUAUCAGCUUGUUGGUGGGGUAGUGGCUUACCAAGGCUUUGACGGGUAGCCGGCCUGAGAGGGUGACCGGUGACCGUGAUGCGGAGAUCCGGCUCGUGGUGCUACGGAAGGUCGCGUGUGCGAAUAUGGCGCAAGGGGCUUGACUGUGAGGCAGCGCCGCGGUGCGCGGGAUGACGUCCUUGGUGUUUUACACCGGUUUGGAGGGCGAAGAGGCGUGAGUGAUGAGAGUGGGUAAAGAAGCAGCGGAUAACUCCGAGCAAUCCGCCGGGUUAAUAGACGGAGAGACUUCGCCUAAAC
rnacentral:rRNA from 1 species